rnacentral:lncRNA from 1 species
ACUAGCGAUUCCACUGGGCGCUGUAGGCAGGGCGCACUCACCGAACUCCCCCAUCCCUUCCAGCCUCAGGGCCCGCCUGGCAGGACUACUGAGCAAGGCCUUGGAAAAUCGGAGCGAUUAGAGCGGUGAGUCGCGCUGGUCACACUGCACACCUGCGGGUUGGGAGAUUCUGGAGCCAGAAGGAGAGCCGAAUGGCCUUCGCCCGCCCUGCCCCUCCUCCGCUUCAGAAAUCCCCGGAAACGCCCCGGUCCGCGAUCCGGGCCCGAGCAGCCAGGGGGCCCAAGGGAAGCUGAACGCCGGGUGAGCUACCCGGAUGGCUCUUCCGGUUCUUUGUGCGGCCUUCACCCAGUGAGGGAGCCUGUGCCCCCUGCCCAGUCGCUUUCGGGGCGCUGAGGAGCUUCCGCUGCCAUCUUCGGAUGCUGUGUCCCGCACGGAGGGUCCACCAGGGCAGGGAUAGUGGUGAGGGUCGCUCGUGGAUCCCCUCGCGGGGAGCAGGGUCUGGCACACACCAGGGCGCAGGAUUAGGACUUGUUGAAUGAAUCCAUCAUGGCCUUUAUCUUUUAGUCCUCUGAAGAGCGUUGAGAAUGGAAAUCAUAAGAUAUUUUUUCCAUUAGGAAGUUCUUUUUACAAGGCGUUUAUUCAGGUUGACUUCUCGGCACCCCGCGGGGCGGGCAACGGGCAGGGCCUCCAGUGCACCUUCUGCGCAGUGGAGCCGCGGGGGCUCAGCUGGGCGGUGGUCGGGUCGUGAGGCGGGAGGGCGGGAGCGGGGGAAGGGAAAAGCAAAAGCGGGGAAAGAAGCCGGGGAGCGGUGGACCAGACAUUCAGACCUCCUGAAAGGCUCGUGCGGAGGCAGAGGCGGGAUCUUCCGGAGGUGAGAAUUGUUUUGUUAUUGUAGCAGAAUGGGGAGGAAUUGAGGGGAAAAUGGAGAUAGAACCUGAAAGAGCCCCAAACGCGAGAACGUGUAGCUCCCCAAGUGUAAGAUCUCACAGAAGAACUAGACUGAAAACUAGGCGUCUGGGAAGCCUGAAAUCCUUGGAGGAGUGGCAUCAUCAUGACCCUCUGUGUUCUCACUUAUAAGUGGGAGCUGAAUGAUGAGAAUACAUGGACAGAUAGAGUGGGGGUGGGGACAACACACACUCGAGCCUGCCAGAGGGUAGGGCUGGGAAGAGGGAGAGCAUCAGAAAGAGGAGCUAAUGGAUGCUGGGAUUAGUACCUGGGUGGUGGGAUGAUCUGUGCAGCAAACCACCAUGGCACAGGUUUAUCUAUGGAACAAACCUGCACAUCCUGCACGUGUACCCCUGAAAUUAAAGUAAAAA